UGAGUAUGUACAUUAUGGUAUACCAAGGAGGUAAAUUUAAAAAUUUCUGGUUCAUCAAGUUGUCCGAAAAAUGAGGAUGAUGAAAAUUCAGAACGAGGUGUAAAAUUUCCAACUGUCAAAACAGGGCAUGAAGACGAAGCAAUUUUAGUUUGGACCACCGAUGGCUGGAUUGUCAGAAAAUUCGAUAUUUCUUCCAUCGUGAGUGGUUUCAGUUUCAUUGGCAAACGACAAUCCGAAGAUUUUUCUAGAGGUCUAUUAAGAUAUUGUCUUGGGACGGUGUCUCGCCUCCCCACGAUCAUUACUCAUCGCCCUCGCAAAGUUGAUAAGUGUACUACAGAAUGAAAGAGACCAAUGGAUAAAAAUAAAAUAUCGUAGAGGCUGGAGAACGCAGGGGAGGCUGCAUGACGGCGAUAAUGGGUAGCGGAGAGUGUAGAUAAGUGCCAAGGAAUUUAAACCUCGCCAAUCGACUCUAAAAUAGAGCUUUGCCUUCUGGAAUCGUUGGACUGGUCGCGCAAGGCGCUGCUGACGCCCGUCUCGUUGCCUCCGCCUCUUUCAAUGCCUCGUCGAAGCUCUGCGUUGAAUUUGACCUUGAAGGAACGACUUUUGUCUACGGAAGAAACGGAGGAAUUAGUCUAACGUCGAUUACUCAGACCUUGGGGGAGUCAGAGUUCUAGUUUGGGGCUGGAACUAUUCUAAUCAGCUACCUUGACGUUCUCAUACGCCGAACCAACUUUUUCUUCGAGUGAUCGGAAACUCUCAGAGUUCCGCAUCUGCCCAAGUUUCGAAGUAAUUCCACUGCUGAAUCCACCAAGAAUGCUGGUUGUUUUUUCAGCAGUUGUUUUUAUCACUGAUUCUGUUUUUUGGAAUCUAUAAUUAAAA
rnacentral:misc_RNA from 1 species